rnacentral:rRNA from 1 species
AUGUAAUGUAAUGCCUACAACGUUAAUGCACUGGGUCCCAUUAAAAAUCCAUAUUUAUGCGCGCUUGGGAUAGAGUAGUAUUGGGAUGGGUGACCUCUCAGGAAGUCCUAAUAUUUUACAUG